ensembl:lncRNA
CUGCUAAUAAAUGUUUUAUUUUUUUAAACUGUACAUCUUUUCUCUAAUAAACACUGACGGGUGUAUUCGAACACUAUUCGAACACUUCUCUCCUCCUGGGUUAUGAUUAAUUAAUCAUUUCUUCUCACAGAUCCACACAGGAGAUUAAAGCUCAUGAUUAACGGAGGAUUUUCACACAAUAUUCCACUGCAGAACAUGAAAAGGAAUUGCAUUGAACUUCACCAUUAAAGGACGUUUGGGAGGCGGCUUUAAUGUUAGGGUUAGGAGGCGGGGUUAAGGGCAGGGUUAGGAUUAAGAGGCGGGGUUAGGGUUAGGAGACUAAGGGGGAGGGGUUAAGGUUAUCUGUGGAGCAGGUGUGUAAAUAAGAUUGAGUUGAGAAAAGAGAGCGCUUGGAUUAGCUAGCGUGUUAGAUGAGUGGUAAGCGAGCAGAAGCCGUGUCAUUUCCUGUGCAUGAAGCAGCAAAUCCACACUGACACUACAACACCACCAUCGCUAACCGGCGUACAGAGAUCUUCUCAAAUUUGUUUUUACUAAUGUUCAUACUUCACUGUAACGUCACUGUGUCCUGUCUAUUAAAAAACUUAUUACAAUGAAUUAUGUUUAGACAAGCCACGCCCACUAGCAACAAUCCGGUAACGUAAGUGUGACCUGUCUAGACAUUUAAAAAAUGUUCUGAUUAAAAAUUCAUUCAAAUUAAAUUUUGUACACAGGCCACACCCACUACUGACAAUCCUGUAACAUGUACAUGAGAUGAGAGUGUGUGUGAGAGAGAGAGAGAGAGAGAUUAAAGAAGAGCACUGAGGGAGAAAAAAGUCUCAUGUCUAAGACUCAUAUGCGAUAAACAAUAUCAUUCAGGUCAUUCAACAGAAAAUGAAACCAGAUCACUGAUGUGA